UUUCUUAUGAUUCAUUCAACUUCUUCGUCAUCGCUUUCGCCAGAUUCUCUGUGGUACGUCGAUGUCUCUCCGAUGCAAAUCGUCGCAAAUUCAGCUCUCGAUCUGCAGAUCUAGUAUGUUAGGUUGUUAAGAUAUCUAGACUGAGUCUUGUGUAAUCCCUGAGAUAUAGGAACACGUUAGGUGCACGUUAGGCACGUUCUAUGAGUCUCUGCUGUAUAUAUUCAAAGUGUAACCAAACUCAAUAAUCAAUACAACAACAAUAUUCAUAUGGUAUCAGAGCAACGAUCUGAUCAAACCUAAAACUCUAUUUUUCUUUUUCUUUUACGCAACAAUGGCGUCUCAAUCUCCUGUAUCAACAGCCACACCUGGCUCUGCAACUAUCAUUAACCCUAAUGAUCCUCAAAAUCCUAUACUCUCGGUGAACAUGAGUAAUGUGACUAGACUCACAGCCUCAAACUACAUAACGUGGAGCUUACAAGUUUCUCUAUUUCUCGAUGGCUUCAACCUCAAACAAUUCAUCACCAACGAUACUGCUCCUCCAUCACCGACGGUCCAAAACAAUGAUCUGACUAUGCCAAAUCCGGCGUAUUCAGCUUGGCAAAGACAAGACAAAUUGCUCUUUGCGGCAAUACUUGGGUCAAUCUCUGUGGCCCUGCAACCUCUUGUUUCCACGGCAACAACAACACUUGAGGCGUGGACAACUCUGCAAUCAACGUUUGGUCGUCCUUCCAGAGGUCACAUGAAACAAAUCAGAGAUCAGCUGAAGAAGGGCACCAAAGGAAACCGCUCUAUUGAUGAGUUCCUGCAGUCAAUCAAAACAAAGGCUGAUCAACUAGCCUUAUUAGGCAAGCCACUUGAUCAUGAGGAUAUCAUCGAGUACAUUCUCGAUGGACUAGAUGAUGAUUACCGUGGUGUAGCUGAACAGAUCAAUGGCCGAGAUGUUCCUCCAACCUUUGAAGAGAUACGUGACAAACUGGUCAACAGGGAAGCAGCUCUUCUUUGUGUACAACCUGCUCCUAUCUUCCCCGUCUCUGCAAACGCAGUUACACACAAACCAAAGACGUCAUUUCGUCCUUCGUCAUCACCUCACUUUGACAAUCGCCAGCAACAUCACUCAUAUAAUAACCGUCCCCAACAACAAACCUUUGGCACAUACGCACCACGUGGACCCAAACCAUACUUGGGAAAGUGUCAAGCUUGUGGUGUUCAGGGGCAUAGCGCCCAGCGAUGUUCUCAGUUUCGUCUCAUUUCAGCUGAUGGUUCUCAACAACACGCAGCUCAACUGUGGCAACCCAGAGCUCAUGUUGCUUCUAUGUAUCCUUCAUCAGAUACACCUUCAUGGCUUCUUGACAGUGGAGCUUCUCACCAUCUCACCUCCGAUCUCAACAACUUAGCACUUCACUCUCCUUACCAAGGCAAUGAAGCUGUGACACUCGGCGAUGGAUCAGGCCACGCGAUUACUCACACUGGUUCUACCAUUCUCUCCUUGCCAUCUCGAUCUAUUCACUUGAAUAAUGUCCUUUAUGCUCCAAAUAUUGAGAAGAAUCUCAUGUCAGUGAGACAAACUUGUGCUGAUAAUAAUGUUUCCAUUACUUUUGAUCCUUGGUCUUAUCAGGUGAGGGAUCUAGUCACGGGGGCGCUGCUCAAAACAGGACAAACUAGCAACGGGAUGUAUGAGUGGUUGGAUUCUGCUCCAUCUUCGAUCCAAAUUCAAGCUCUUUCUGCAAUAAAAACCUCAAUGACUGCUUGGCAUUCACGCCUUGGCCAUCCUGCUCUUGAUCUUUUGAAACGUGUUUUGUCUCAAUGUUCCUUGCCUUUUUCACAUAAAAUUAUGCCUCCUCUGUUGUGCAACUCGUGUUCUAUGAAUAAAAGUCACAAACACUCUUUUGGUACAAACACUAUCUCUUCAUCUCGUCCUCUUGAAAUUCUAUAUUCAGAUGUUUGGACAUCCCCACUGUUUUCCUUCGAUGGCUACAAGUACUAUCUUGUUAUUGUUGAUCAUUUUACACGAUACACUUGGCUCUUUCCUCUCAAACGAAAAUCUCAGGUUCUUGAUGUGUUUAUUCGCUUUAAAGAGCUUGUUGAAAACAAGUUUCAAACACGCAUUGUCACCUUCUAUUCAGACAAUGGCGGUGAGUUCCUUGCUAUGAGAUCCUUUCUUUCACAACAUGGCAUUUCACACAGAACUUCACCUCCACAUACUCCUGAACACAAUGGCAUCUCUGAGCGAAAACAUAGACAUAUUGUCGAAACGGGCUUAGCGCUCUUAUCUCAUGCUCAUAUGCCUUCAGAGUACUGGUCGUUUGCUUUCGCUACUGCUGUCUAUCUUAUAAAUCGCCUUCCAAGCUCAUCACUCAACUUCUCCAUUCCAUAUGAAAAGCUUUUCGCAGAAAAAGCCAACUACUCAAAACUUCGGGUUUUUGGCUGCCUAUGCUAUCCUUGGCUAAGGCCAUAUUCUUCCCACAAACUAGACACUCGCUCUACUCCUUGCGUCUUUGUCGGUUACUCUCUAUCUCAAAGUGCUUAUCUCUGUUUUGAUAAAUCAUCCUCUCGGUUAUAUGCUUCCCGUCAUGUUGAAUUCUUUGAAUCUUCAUUUCCAUUCCAACACAAAGCUACUCCACUUCCUACUUCAACAAACGAACCAGACCUCAGUCCUCUGGUUUCUCCACUUCCCCAAUCACUCACUCCUAUGGCUACUGUCCAGCCUCCUGCGCCUGACACCUCAUCUGCUUUGGCUCAGGACACAACAUCGCCUGCACAAUCACAGCAACCUCUCAUCACUGCACCACCACCAAAUACAUCGGUCCCUGAUGCUCCACCCGCCAACACACACCAAAUGGUAACACGAUCGAAGAAUCAUAUCAUCAAACCAAAUCCACGCUUUGCUCUCCAUACUGUUGCAGCUUUAGAUGAUGAGAUUGAACCGCGCACACAUAUUCAGGCACUUAAAGAUGCUCAAUGGCGCGGCUCAAUGUGUGGAGAGAUGAACUCUCAAGCUGAAAAUAACAGCUGGAAUCUGGUACCUCGUGAUCCUAGCUACAAUGUAGUUGGUUGUAGAUGGGUAUAUCGCAUCAAACGAAAUCAAUACGGCAAACCUGAGCGCAAAAAGUCCAGAUUAGUUGCCAAAGGGUUUCACCAACGACCAGGGAUAGACUAUUUUGAGACAUUUAGUCCAGUGGUUAAGCAGCCAACAAUACGUCUGAUUCUUGGUCAAGCAGUGGCACGAGGUUGGGUCUUACGUCAACUUGACGUUAAUAAUGCUUUUCUUCAGGGUGACUUGCAGGAAGAUGUGUACAUGGAGCAGCCACCAGGCUUUGUGGAUACUGACAAACCUGAUUAUGUAUGCAAACUUAACAAAGCUAUUUAUGGACUCAAGCAGGCUCCGCGCGCAUGGUAUAAUGCUCUUCGUGACUUUCUUCUUGAGCUGGGAUUCUACAACUCUGUUUCAGACACCUCUCUGUUUGUGCUUCACAAGUCUGGGAUUGCAGUGUUUGUUCUAAUUUAUGUAGAUGAUAUAGUCGUUACGGGUAACUCUCCUGCUCACAUUCAGGCAUUUAUUGAUCUCUUAGCUCGUCGAUUUUCUAUCAAAGACAUGGGAGAGUUGGGCUAUUUCUUGGGCAUUGAAGUAACCAGAACUCAGGCCGGUCUUACGCUUACACAGACAAAGUACAUCAAUGAUCUUCUCUAUCGUACGAACAUGAUCACGACGAAGCCUGUUGCCACACCCAUGGCUGAGCAGCCCUCCCUAACAGUUCUCUCUGGCGAUCUUCUCCCUGAUCCGAGUGAAUACCGCUCUGUUAUUGGGAGCUUACAAUAUCUCCAAUUCACAAGGCCUGACAUCGCUUUUGCUGUAAACAAACUCUCGCAGUAUAUGCAUCAGCCUCGUACAGAUCACUGGACGGCUGCCAAACGAGUUCUCCGAUAUCUAAGUGGCACAAAAUAUCUUGGUCUUCACUUCUCUGCAAUCACUCCACCAACAGUUCAUGCCUUCUCCGACGCAGAUUGGGCCGGUGACAAAGAUGACUACACUUCUACAGGAGCUUAUCUUGUAUACGUUGGCAAACAUCUAGUUGCUUGGUCCUCUAAGAAGCAAAAGACAGUGGCUCGUUCUUCUACUGAAGCUGAAUACAAAUCAGUUUCUGAUACAGCAUCUGAAGUCCAAUGGAUCGUCACUCUCCUUGGUGAAAUCGGACUUCCUCCAUCAACAGCUCCUGUUAUAUAUUGUGACAAUGUAGGAGCAACGUUCCUCUGUGCAAACCCUGUCUUUCACUCCAGAAUGAAGCAUGUUGCCGUUGACUUUCACUUCAUCCGGGCUCUAGUACAAUCAGGUUAUCUUCGCGUUUCACAUGUUGCUUCCGCAGAUCAGCUUGCUGAUGCUCUAACAAAACCUCUAUCCCGCGCCAAGUUUCGUUCAAUUUCAGACAAGAUUGGCCUCGCAACCCUCCGUCCAUCUUGAGGGGGCAUGUUAGGUUGUUAAGAUAUCUAGACUGAGUCUUGUGUAAUCCCUGAGAUAUAGGAACACGUUAGGUGCACGUUAGGCACGUUCUAUGAGUCUCUGCUGUAUAUAUUCAAAGUGUAACCAAACUCAAUAAUCAAUACAACAACAAUAUUCAUAGAUCCGGUUUAAAUCGCGGCGAGAAGACGGAUCGUAGCGGCUGAGAUCUCCGUAGAUCGGUUUAUUAUGCAUAUGGUAGCUGGAUCUGAUAAUUGAUUCGUUUAAUUCGAUUGAAUCCCUUUGUAAUAUUGUUUAUUUGUUAAUUCCUGAUUCCCAGAUCUGAUCUCGGCCGCGAGGUUCGUCGUAUCUGUUAGUUUCGUUUGCGGUUUGAUGAGGCGAUGAUGAAUCCGAUGGGGGAGCGAUCAAAGAAGAUGAAGAGGAUGGGAGAUGUGUGAAUUGAUAUGAGUUGAGUAUGAUGGGAUGUAUGAGAUGUUUGUUAGGGACGAUAGAGCCUCUGAUGAGGUUUGGAGUUUCUGAAUUAGCAUCUUUGUCAUCCGACCUUUGCCAUGACAGGUGCGCUUGCAUGGCAGGUCACCCACAAAAAUCCUUAAUAAUAAAUAAAAAUAGUUUCGUGUUGGCUGAGGGGAGUUCGCACGGGGGACUUUUUUAUUUAGCCCGGGUUCUCCCCUCACCUUUUGUGUCUUGCUCUCGCUUUGACUAUCACUCUCUGAUAUCUCAAAUCACACAAAAUAUCUCCACCCACUAUCACUCUUUGAAUUGAUUCGGAUCAUUACUAUCGGAUCUGGAGUCAAGCACGGGCCAACAAUACUCUACGGAGAGAGCAAAGGUACUUCCAAUUUUUUAUUCGCAUUAUUAGAUAAUUACCGCAAUUAUUAAUUGACAUAAUCGGCUUUAUUUUGGCUCAUGGUUAAAUUAAAUCAUCGGUACCACUCAAAAUCGAUCUCCAAAAACACUGCAUCGGUGUUAAUUUGAACGACUUAUCAAUUUCGUCUACUACUAGGUUUUACAGUGUACUGUCUUUCUCAAUUGCAAUCAGAUUUAUAUGCUUCAUAUCGACAUACUUAGCAUUAGUUUUGAUAAUUUGUAUCCAUUUUUUAUAUUGCAACUUGAAAGAAUAUUAAAAUAGUCAUUGUUUUGUACCAUAUUGUAAUCAUAUUGUACUGUAGAGUUGCAAAUGGCUUUGAGGAUUUUUGAAGGAGAAAUACACUUAUGAGCUAUCAAGAUAGUGUUUUGUAUGUUGUUGCAUACGGCUUCUGUUUCUUUUACUGAGAGUUAAACCCUUGAAUUGUAUGCGGUAGUUACAGUGUUUGCAUUAAACUUCUGAUGUUAUAAUCGGAUGUUGUUCUGUAAUUAUAUUCUGUUUCUAUUUAUACAUUGAUUUUAAUGUGAUUAUUUAAUAAUUCAUAAAUAAAAAUUGUUAAAUGUUAAAGCAGGCUUUAAAUCUUGAUCCAUAUCUAAUUUGAUAAUGGACUUUUCUUUGUUGUGCAUAG
rnacentral:lncRNA from 1 species